UUAACUAUUAUAUAGUACUCAGACAUCACUAAAAACAGAGUUUGUUUCCUCUGGCAGGCACUCAAGAGCCGAAGCCCCUGGCACGAGUGCGUCCUGCCAAAGCAACAAAGGUAUGUUAUUCAAGGGUGGAGAUCUACCCCGAAGGGCAUGAUACUCUGUAAUGAUCCUUCCGCAGGUUCACCUACGGAAA
rnacentral:misc_RNA from 1 species